AAUAGAUACCGGGUAGUCCAUGCCGUAAACGUUGGGAACUAGAUGUGGGGACCAUUCCACGGUUUCCGUGUCGCAGCUAACGCAUUAAGUUCCCCGCCUGGGGAGUACGGCCGCAAGGCUAAAACUCAAAGGAAUUGACGGGGGCCCGCACAAGCGGCGGAGCAUGCGGAUUAAUUCGAUGCAACGCGAAGAACCUUACCAAGGCUUGACAUAUACGAGAACGCUCUAGAAAUAGAGAACUCUUUGGACACUCGUAUACAGGUGGUGCAUGGUUGUCGUCAGCUCGUGUCGUGAGAUGUUGGGUUAAGUCCCGCAACGAGCGCAACCCUCGUCGUAUGUUGCCAGCACGUAAUGGUGGGAACUCAUAUGAGACUGCCGGGGUCAACUCGGAGGAAGGUGGGGAUGAGGUCAAAUCAUCAUGCCCCUUAUGUCCUGGGCUUCACGCAUGCUACAAUGGCCGGUACAAAGGGCUGCAAUACCGCAAGGUGGAGCGAAUCCCAAAAAGCCGGUCUCAGUUCGGAUUGAGGUCUGCAAC
rnacentral:rRNA from 1 species